AAACUCGAGCUAAUACCGCAUACGCCCUACGGGGGAAAGCGGGGGACCUUCGGGCCUCGCGCUAUUAGAUGAGCCUGCGUUGGGUUAGCUAGUUGGUGGGGUAAUGGCCUACCAAGGCGACGAUCCAUAGCUGGUCUGCGAGGAUGAUCAGCCACACCGGGACUGAGACACGGCCCGGACUCCUACGGUAGGCAGCAGUGGGGAAUAUUGCGCAAUGGGCGCAAGCCUGACGCAGCCCUGCCGCGUGUGUGAAGAAGGCCCUCGGGUUGAAAAGCACUUUCAAUUGAGAGGAAAGGCUCACGGCUAAUACGCGAGAGCUGUGACGUUACCUUUAUAAGAAGCACCGGCUAACUCCG
rnacentral:rRNA from 1 species